AACGAACGCUGGCGGCAGGCUUAACACAUGCAAGUCGAGCGCCCCGCCAGGGGAGCGGCAGACGGGUGAGUAACGCGUGGGAACGUACCUUUUGGUUCGGAACAACUCCGGGAAACUGGAGCUAAUACCGGAUAAGCCCUAACGGGGAAAGAUUUAUCGCCGAAAGAUCGGCCCGCGUCUGAUUAGCUAGUUGGUGAGGUAACGGCUCACCAAGGCGACGAUCAGUAGCUGGUCUGAGAGGAUGAUCAGCCACACUGGGACUGAGACACGGCCCAGACUCCUACGGGAGGCAGCAGUGGGGAAUAUUGGACAAUGGGCGCAAGCCUGAUCCAGCCAUGCCGCGUGAGUGAUGAAGGCCUUAGGGUUGUAAAGCUCCUUUGUCCGGGAAGAUAAUGACUGUACCGGAAGAAUAAGCCCCGGCUAACUUCGUG
rnacentral:rRNA from 1 species